rnacentral:miRNA from 1 species
AAAUACUAAGGUAUAUGUG